rnacentral:rRNA from 1 species
UGGUGGAGUGAUUUGUCUGGUUAAUUCCGUUAACGAACGAGACCCCCGCCUGCUAAAUAGUACUAAUAAUGCUUAGCAUUGUUGGACUUACUUCUUAGAGGGACUUCUGGUGACUAACCAGAGGAAGUUGGGGGCAAUAACA